rnacentral:tRNA from 1 species
GUGCUUAUAGUUUAAUGGUAGAGCAUACCGCUCAUAACGGUAAUUGUAUAGGUUCAAAUCCUAUUAGGCGCA